CCUACGGGGCGCAGCAGUGAGGAAUAUUGGUCAAUGGCCGGAAGGCUGAACCAGCCAUGCCGCGUGAAGGUCAGUGCCCUAUGGGCGUUAAACUUCUUUUGUGCGGGAGCAAUAAUGGUCACGUGUGGCCAGACGAGAGUACCGUACGAAUAAGCAUCGGCUAACUCCGUGCCAGCAGCCGCGGUAAUACGGGGGAUGCAAGCGUUAUCCGGAUUUAUUGGGUUGAAAGGGUGCGUAGGCUGUGAGGUAAGUCAGCGGUGAAAUGCCCCCGCUCAACGGGGUGAAGUGCCAUUGAUACUGCCUGGCUGGAAUGCGGAUGCGGUGGGAGGAAUGUGUGGUGUAGCGGUGAAAUGCAUAGAUAUCACACAGAACACCGAUUGCGAAGGCAUCUCACGAAUCCGCGAUUGACGCUGAUGCACGAAAGCGUGGGUAUCAAACAGGAUUAGAUACCCGAGUAGUC
rnacentral:rRNA from 1 species